GCUAAUGCCUUACAGAACUCAUUACUUGAUUAAGGACUCUUUAAUAUCCACAGUGCUGGAAAACACUUCCUGGAAUGCAGCUGGGAUCUGCCAGUUCAUACACAGCCAUACACUCCCUCACACCUCCCUUCAGAAACCUUAAACACCCUGCCAGCCACCAUUAAUUAAGAUCCCCUCACCAGGUAAAUGCCCCAUCCUCCUGACCACAGCUCCCCUUCUCCAUCCAAACCUGGCACCUGCUCAGCCACAUCUAGGCUCCCUCCCUGCCUGUCCGAGAGCCCAAGCCCUGGAGACUCUUCUGCAACAGCUGAGAACUCCUGCUCCUGAGGUUAGAGAGGAAUGGUCCACGUUCCCUGCAACCAGCUGACAGGAAGCAGUUGGACACCUCAAAGGAAGAGGAGGAGGAUCUCAGGAAUAUUUGGAAGUCUGAUGUUUUGAUGUCUUGUCUAAAGCAGCACCAUGCUGAGAGGACUGCACAGGGGUCAGAAAAAUGAGAUGUAGCAAAAGCACUGAUGAAAAACAAGAAUCAGUCCAGGAAUUAGAUCCUUUUCAUCUUUCCAAGCUGAAGCAUAUCCAUCUCCCUUUCUUAAGGCACUGUCCUUCCCCUCCUCUCCCUGCAGCAGUAGCUGCCUGUGGUACACUGCAAUGUUGGCUCACUUCCACAAGUCAGCAUGUCUGAGAGAGAGUCUGGGAUGAGGCAGGGGGAGGAGGGAGUGACAAAGCUGGGGCAACAGAAAAGAAACUCAGGAGCCACCUGCCUGCUUACAGCUAACAUCAAUACCCUGGAAACAGCUGCCCCAUGGAAGUGCUCCUGACUCCUGAGGUGAUGCUUUCACAGAGGCAGUGUGUGUUCAUCCAGUCUCAUUCUCCUGGAUGUGACCCACCAGGGAAACAGGAAAACAUCCCUGCACUGAAGCCAUGUUAACAGGAAAACAGAUUGUCCAAGCAUGCAGCUGCUGCUCCCUCCACAGAGCUGCUCCAACACUUCACAGCAGGCAGUGGCAAGGGAAGAAGGCACACAGCCAUGAUUCUCUUCCCUCUAGAUGGGAAGACAGAUCCCCAGGUGGAGACUGCAAGGGUAAGGGGAAUUUGCAGAUUUUGAACAUCUUGCCACACCCCAGAAGAUCUGGAUGACACCUGCUUAAUAUGCAGGAUUUUGUCCAAGACCUGUCAGGUGGUGGUAAUUUCAACUUCCACGGGCUAAUACUUCUCCCAUCGGCAAAAAUGCUUUCUGUUUAUUUAUAUAUGGCCAUAUAACACUUUCUCAAGCAGGGGCUGCUUUGAAAACCUUUAGAAACCGUCUCUUGAUCCAUCUUCACCAUUUCAUAACCAAGGGAGGGGGUCAUUUGUUUGUAAAUUUAGACACACGUUAGACCCUCCUGCCCCCCAUUAGUCUCUAAUGGGAGUUAGAAGGGCAGCUCAGAACCAGCAGGAGACCACCUCCAAAGAGCAUCCCAGUGUGCCUGCCACCACAGGCUUCUCCACCCCCAGUGCUCUGCUGCGGGUGAGGGAGGAGAACCCCUGAAGGUCUAGGGAAAGAACAUCAGGACAGUGAUACAUUGUUCUCAUCACACAGCUCUGCAGGGCAAGCUCAACCAGGUCAUCAAAUGCGAUCCCUUUCAAAACACUUCUUAAUACUAAAUGAUGAUAUCAACUAUUGCAGGAGCUGGAGACAUUUUUCAAACCUUAAUGCAUUAAAACUCAAAAUUCCUGAAGUCUCA